rnacentral:rRNA from 1 species
UCCAGACUCCUACGGGAGGCAGCAGUGGGGGAUAUUGCACAAUGGGGGAAACCCUGAUGCAGCGACGCCGCGUGAGUGAAGAAGUAAUUCGUUACGUAAAGCUCUAUCAGCAGGGAAGAAAAGCGAACAGGUUCGCCUGGACGGUACCUGACUAAGAAGCCCCGGCUAACUACGUGCCAGCAGCCGCGGUAAUACGUAGGGGGCAAGCGUUAUCCGGAUUCACUGGGUGUAAAGGGAGCGUAGACGGCGGCGCAAGCCAGGAGUGAAAGCCCGGGGCCCAACCCCGGGACUGCUCUUGGAACUGCGCGGCUGGAGUGCAGGAGGGGCAGGCGGAAUUCCUGGUGUAGCGGUGAAAUGCGUAGAUAUCAGGAGGAACACCGGUGGCGAAGGCGGCCUGCUGGACGGCGACUGACGUUGAGGCCCGAAAGCGUGGGGAGCAAACAGGAUUAGAUACCCCGGUAUGU